rnacentral:rRNA from 1 species
CCUACGGGUGGCUGCAGUGAGGAAUAUUGCUCAAUGGGCGCGAGCCUGAACCAGCCAAGUAGCGUGAAGGAUGACUGCCCUACGUGUUGUAAACUUCUUUUAUAAAGGAAUAAAGUGAGGCACGUGUGCCUGUUUGUAUGUACUUCAUGAAUAAGGAUCGGCUAACUCCGUGCCAGCAGCCGCGGUAAUACGGAGGAUCCGAGCGUUAUCCGGAUUUAUUGGGUUUAAAGGGAGCGUAGAUGGGUUGUUAAGUCCGGUGUGAAAGUUUGCGGCCCAACCGUAAAAUUGCAAUUGAUACUGGCAGUCUUGAGUACAGUAGAGGUAGGCGGAAUUCGUGGUGUAGCGGUGAAAUGCGUAGAUAUCACGAAGAACACCGAUGGCGAAGGCAGCUUACUAAACUGCCACUGACAUUGAUGCUCGAAAGUGUGGGUAUCAAACAGGAUUAGAUACCCGAGUAGUC